AUUUAAGAAUGCAUCUGACUAUUGGGUUCAGCUGCCUCCUGUGGCUCAGUGGUGGAAAUUAAGACUUUCUCACGUAUAACCGCUAAAAUUGCACCUGGCCCAUGGAUGCUACUGAAAAACAAGGAUGUCCCCCAACAGAUUGGAUGUGGAGUCAUGUUGAUGGAAAG